CAUAUGGAUGUUUUGACAUCCAUUCAUAUUCCAAAGAAGUAAUCU
rfam:Planctomycetes bacterium RBG_13_46_10 RBG_13_scaffold_339, whole genome shotgun sequence.